rnacentral:lncRNA from 1 species
UUCUGUUUCUCAGUACCCCUGGAACAAUUGUUAGUGAAAAAAUAUCAACUCAUAAGGCUGUAGUUCAAUAAAAAUAUAGGCAUCAAACAGCUCAUCCCCAUCCAUUAUAGUUUUCCUUCUUUCUUUUCUUACCAUCGCCUCUUCUGCUUGUUAGAUAAGAAGAAAAUAGAUUUAUCAUCACUAAUAUGAAUCAUGUAAGAUAUGUUAAGCACUCAGAUCUAGGCAACAGAAUUUUAUGGAAUACCAUUAAGCGAUAUAUUUCUCACCUUUGAUAAUCAUUGGCUUAGCUAGUAUCAACAAAAACAAUUAUUUUUUAAUAAAAUCUUGAUAGAAUUGAAGAUGGCCCAUUUGGUGUGUGUUUUGAAAUUGAAUCAAAUUGAUAUAACUGAAUUAAGUGUGUUGAAGAUGAUCCAUUUAGGUGUGUAUGUUUGUGAUGAAAUUGUGUUCAAUUUCAAUUCAACAAUGGAGCAAUCAUGGUGUUUUGUUGAAGAGUUCAUUGUUGAAGAGAAGAAAGAAAGAAAGAGGAGAGAG